GAUCAGGCUGUUGGUGAGGUAAUGGCCCACCAAACCUGUAACCGGUACGGGCUCUGAGAGGAGGAGCCCGGAGAUGGGCACUGAGACAAGGGCCCAGGCCCUAUGGGGCGCAGCAGGCGCGAAACCUCUGCAAUAGGCGAAAGCUUGACAGGGUUACUCUGAGUGAUCUCCGUUAAGGAGAUCUUUUGGCACCUCUAAAAAUGGUGCAGAAUAAGGGGUGGGCAAGUCUGGUGUCAGCCGCCGCGGUAAUACCAGCACCCCGAGUGGUCGGGACGUUUAUUGGGCCUAAAGCAUCCGUAGCCGGUUUUACAAGUCUUCCGUUAAAUCCACCUGCUCAACAGAUGGGCUGCGGAAGAUACUAUAGAGCUAGGAGGCGGGAGAGGCAAGCGGUACUCGAUGGGUAGGGGUAAGAUCCGUUGAUCCAUUGAAGACCACCAGUGGCGAAGGCGGCUUGCCAGAACGCGCUCGACGGUGAGGGAUGAAAGCUGGGGGAGCAAACCGGAUUAGAUACCCGGGUAGUCCCAGCUGUAAACGAUGCAGACUCGGUGAU
rnacentral:rRNA from 1 species